rnacentral:lncRNA from 1 species
AAAGAAAAAGCCAUGAGAGCUGCCAAGACCUGCAUUAACCUGCCUUCCCCUCAUCCACUGCCCUUGCUGAUGUAAGUGCAGGGCUGGAAGCAGUUUGUUCCACACCAGCCCCUUCCUGCUUAUCAGGAGCCAGCGGCAGGAGCUGCUCUCACAGAGGGACCCUGCAAAUCCUCGGAUGAACGCCCAGACCCAGAGCUGUUUCCCAGGGGGAUCGGGCUGGAUUGGAUAAUUAAUCACAGCUUGUCUGGGGGAGGAUGAGGAAGUCUGAAUAAAGGCGUUAACGGCUCUUAAAGGCUUUCCUGGUUCGCAGAGGGUGCUGCCUCAAACAGAUUAUCUGGAAAUAUUAUUAGCUGGAGUGGGAAAGGUUUUUUUUCCUUCUCUAGGCUCUUUGCAGCAACCCUAAAUCUGCUUGAGCUGAGGAGACAGGCUUUAUAGUGCAGAGGGAGGUGGGGGAGAGGUGUUGGCUAUCAGUGGGUCAGCAAUUAAUUGGUUUAUUCCUUUCUCACGGUUAUUUUCUAACCAACAUCGACUAAAGCUGUGGUGCCCACUUUGUCCCAGCUCAGGAAACAAGAACCACAGGGAUUUGUACUGGGGGGACCCCAGGUCACGAGAUUGGCUUUGCAGGGGCUGCUGGGAGGUCUCUUGUCCUGCCAAGCCUCUUUCCCUGUUAUCUCCUCUUAGGAGGAGGAUGUGAUUAGUGUUUGCUGCCGUGGGAUGUCAGCUGGGGGAUGAGAACUGUGCCAAGAGGAGGAAAGAGCUGCCACAGGCGGAUGAGACUGUCCCUUUCACACACGAAACACAGCCCAAACCGGGUCCCCAUUCUCCAUGGGGAUCAACCUGCAGGGAUGAUGAGAGAAACACAGCAAGUGCCAGCCCUGCACAGCUCAGCUGCAGAAGCACAGGAUUCCCCAAAGCCCUUCAAGACAGCCCAUUCCCUUUGUCUUGAGUCGGGGCUGGAAAUAACAGCAGGAUGUUUCUGGUAUCACAUUUCUCAUGGAAAUCAGACACGUGGUCAGGAGUGGGGCACGCUGAACCUGACAGUGCUUGAUAAGGCAGAGGGAUGCUCCAGGGGGAGUAACUGGAGAAGAGGCUUGUCACAGACAUCUCCAGCCAUAUUCCCCUGUGGCCUUGGCUUCCCUUCAGCCUUUACCUCUGCAAAGCAAGUUGGAUUGAAGCCACUGGGACUGGAUGCAUGGAGCUGGCAGUCUUGUGCUGCCCACUGCAGUGAUAGAUACCCAUAAUGUCGAUGAUGGAGAAGAGACCAGCCACUCAUCCUUGCCUUGAAAAGCCUGCUGUUGCCAGACAAGGACCAAGGCUCACACCCCACCUUCUGUGCCAUCAGUAACUUCUCCUGAUGUUAAAAUUGUGUUGUCUCUCUUAAUAAUAA